rnacentral:rRNA from 1 species
UACGUAGGUGGCGAGCGUUGUCCGGAUUUACUGGGCGUAAAGGGCGUGCAGGCGGUUUGCUAAGUCUAGGGUGAAAGCUCCCGGCUCAACUGGGAGAGGUCCUUGGAUACUGACAGACUUGAGGGAGGCAGAGGAGAAUGGAAUUCCCGGUGUAGUGGUGAUAUGCGUAGAUGUCGGGAGGAACACCAGUGGCGAAGGCGGUUCUCUGGGCCUUACCUGACGCUGAGACGCGAAAGCGUGGGGAGCGAACCGG